GAGUUUGAUGAUGGCUCUGAUUGAACGCUAUCCAAGUGCUUGACACAUGCUAAUCGAACGUCAUUAUCUAUAUAAGAUAAUGAAGUGGUGUACAGGUGAGUAAAUAUUUUAACUACCUUAAAGAAAGGGGAAAAUCCCUUAUAAAAAAAAAUAAAACAAAGUUUUGCUUUAAGAUGUUAAUAAAUAUAUCGGAAAGUAUUAGAUAAGGUAAAAACUUAACUAGCGAUAAUUCCGUAGUCGAGACUGAGAGGUCGAUCGAUCACAUUGGGUCUGAAAAAAGCCCAAUGCGUAUUAGUACAGCAGUGAGGAAUAUUGGUCAAUGGCCUAACGGCUGAACCAGCAACUUGGAAGAAUGAGAAGUAUUAAAAAAAAAUUAAUACCGAAACGGAAUAUAUCGUUAUGAAAUUCUAGACUAAAAUUAUUGAAUAAUGGACAAUUAUUUUAUUUAUAAGUCUUGACCCCAAAUUACGAUGCCCAGCAGUCGCGGUAAUACCGUAGAACGACUAGGUUGUUAAUCAUCUUUUAUUAGGUUUUAAAGGCGUACCUAGACGGUAAAUUUAAAACCCGAGAAGGGUACCUUUUUUACUAGAGUUUUAUAAGAGAAAGGGGAGAAUUUUUGGAGUAAAGAUAAAAUUUUAAUUAUACCAAAAGGACUGAUAACCGGCGGUAGGCGGCCCUUUUAAUGUAAAAAACUGACGUUGAGGGACGAACGGC
rnacentral:ncRNA from 1 species